rnacentral:rRNA from 1 species
GGAACCGGGAGAGGUAAGAGGUACUACGAGGGGUAAGGAGUAGAAAUCUUGUAAUCUCUGGUGGGACCACCUGUGGCGAAGGCGUCUUACCAGGAACGGGUUCGACGGUGAGGGACGAAAGCUGGGGGGCACGAACCGGAUUAGAUACCCGGGUAGUCCCAGCCGUAAACGAUGCUCGCUAGGUGUCAGGCAUGGCGCGACCGUGUCUGGUGCCGCAGGGAAGCCGUGAAGCGAGCCACCUGGGAAGUACGGCCGCAAGGCUGAAACUUAAAGGAAUUGGCGGGGGAGCACAACAACGGGUGGAGCCUGCGGUUUAAUUGGACUCAACGCCGGACAACUCACCGGGGGCGACAGCAAUAUGUAGGCCAAGCUGAAGACUUUGCCUGAAUCGCUGAGAAGAGGUGCAUGG